rnacentral:rRNA from 1 species
CAGCCGCCGUGGGAAUACGUAGGUGGCAAGCGUUGUCCGGAAUUAUUGGGCGUAAAGGGCUCGCAGGCGGUUUCUUAAGUCUGAUGUGAAAGCCCCCGGCUCAACCGGGGAGGGUCAUUGGAAACUGGGAAACUUGAGUGCAGAAGAGGAGAGUGGAAUUCCACGUGUAGCGGUGAAAUGCGUAGAGAUGUGGAGGAACACCAGUGGCGAAGGCGACUCUCUGGUCUGUAACUGACGCUGAGGAGCGAAAGCGUGGGGAGCGAACAGGAUUAGAUACCCCUGUAGUCCCUGUCUCUUAUAC